rnacentral:tRNA from 1 species
UCCGUUGUAGUCUAGCUAGUUAGGAUACUCAGCUCUCACCCGAGAGACCCGUGUUCGAGUCCCGGCAACGGAA